rnacentral:rRNA from 1 species
UACGUAGGGGCUAGCGUUGUCCGGAAUCAUUGGGCGUAAAGAGCGUGUAGGCGGUUCGGUAAGUCUGUCGUGAAAACCUGAGGCUCAACCUCGGGCGUGCGAUGGAUACUGCCGGGCUAGAGGAUGGUAGAGGCGAGUGGAAUUCCCGGUGUAGCGGUGAAAUGCGCAGAUAUCGGGAGGAACACCAGUAGCGAAGGCGGCUCGCUGGGCCAUUCCUGACGCUGACGACG